CUGCCUCUCCUCUCUCUAUUCAGCCUUUGUGUAAACAUUUUCUUUCCUGGCCAGCUGGGGGAGGACAAACUCUGUUAUUUAAUUAAGACAGCUCUUCACGCUUCUGAGUUUGUUUAGUUUGUAUUUACUGAUACUUAACGUGCAUACAUUAUUUUCUAGUUUAAGCAUACGUCUCUCGGUUACUCUGUGCUCCAAAGUGAGAAUUCCCCACGGGAGCAGCAGUGCAUCACUUCUUGGCCACGGCUGUUGGUGAGGGGUGGACACGCAUCCCCCAGUAACUGCUGCCCACUGCAGGAGCACUGACCUCACUGCCAGCUGAGCCCCAGGCUUCCUGCCAGCAAUAAUCCUAUCUUACCUUUAAAUAUGCCAUGGUGAGGAGCGGCAAUAAGGUAAAAGGUACCAAAUACAGGAGGGCAGGCUGGGCUGCCCGGUGAAUACGAGAGGCUACUGUUGCAGUUAAUAGGCCUGUAAAAGAAAUAAGUGACUGAACAUCUUUAAACAGCACAUGGAUGUUCUGUAUCUUUUCAUCCACAGGUGUUUCCUUACCCACCAUUGUAAGACAGGCUACGGAAAAAUGUAUUUAUCUGUGCUUUGCUUUCCCUAAAUAGUUAUAAAAUAAGAAGUAGUUAUUCUAUUUUAAUAUUAGGUUGUGCUGAGCCCCUCAAUCCAGUUUUAAGCCUCAAAGACUAAGCUAAUAACACAAACCAUAACAAAAAGCAAAGGAGAGGAAACUGAGUGCACCACGCUGAAUUGUUUUAUGUGCUACUCAGUGCUGGUACCUCUUGACACUGUCAGUCUGAGGGCCCCAGCCUGAGAAACAAGGGGCUGGGGGGAAGGAUUGUUCACACCAGGAACAUUUUUCCUGGAGACGUGCCCAAGAGGAACACGGGGGAAAAGGCAGGGGUGGGUGGGUGGGAAGGGAACACAAAUGGAAAGAAACGAUCUCUCCAUUGCAUCUGCUAAAGGGCUGAGGAGAUCCAGAUACACACACGUCCUGACCUCAGAGAAAAAAAUCUGUUAGGGACAGCUACUUCAAACCACAGAUGGCAUUCCAGCUGCAACUAUUUACAGUUUUCUGUACAUACUAAAACGUUACAGGAUCGUAAGGGUUAACACUAGAAUACAAAAAUACUGCAACUAUCUACUAUCUAGAUGUACUCUUUCACAGCAUAACCUAUCUAGAAACUCCUGUGUUUUCUCUGCCUUACUCAGGUAUGAGCGAGAGCAGCUUCUGCACUCAUAAAGGAAGGUACAGAAAGUCCCCCACAGAAAGAUGCUGAUAAUCUCCUUCAUCCUCAAAAUAAAAUCCACACAAAAACUAUUGCAAAGUCGGGACGGGCUUUUCUUCCUCCAUCAUGCCAAUGAAAAUCAAGAAAGGAGAACUCAAAAACAACAUAACCAAGCAGUCUCCCGAAGCCUCUUCAUACUUUGUUUCAUCGUCUUUUAAACCUACUACAAUAAUCCCACUCUUGCUCACUAAGCAGCUCUCCAUAUUAAACCAAUUACUCACCUACAAAAUAUCCAAUAAGUGUGCAGUGAAAGUAAGAGACCUUCUGCAUACGUCCAGAGAUGUUCCCUGGUCCUGGGGCACCACAGGAAUCGCUGUUGGCUUGUUUUUUGUAGUUAUCGUAGCGCAGGACGAAGCAGAGCAGAAGACCUGGCAUCACAAUAUCUCCAAUCCCCAGCAUAGAGAAGUGGCUGCCCGUGGAACUGCAGAGCAAUGGAAACUGGAUUUGCACCCAUAAACAAGAUAAUCAUCCCCUAAUCCCUGCUAUUUCAGUACUCCAGCAUCAAAAGAAGAAUAGAAUAAUGAUAAGCCAACGUACUGCAUGGCUUCUGAAGCACUCAUAGGCUUAUGUGUAGCAGGCUCAAAAUCCCAAACAUCAAGGAACUCCUGCAGUUGAGAGAUGUGGAAUAAUCUCCCUCCAACACAGCACUUCACCCAAUAUUGUGGUACCUGUUGGUCAGUGUCUGGACAACGAGCACCAGGAAGAGGAUGGUACAAAGGCACCCAGUAUAAGAAAGCUUGAAAGCAGAGAAGAGGUAAGCACAGUGCUCAGCCUGGGUGAUGCAACACUUAUUUCUAAUAGGCCCUCACACUACAGCUCACACACUGAGACAGUGACUCUCUGCCAGAGCUGUCAGCAAGGGCCUCCCCAGUCAGCGCCUGCUGCUACGCAAAGGUAGAACUAAAUGCUUUCAGUAUUACAAAAUAUAUUGUCAGGUUUCUUGCAAAAGUGCUGUAAGAUUUUAUGCCAGCUUUGCUGGCUAUAAAUCAGUUUGCAUUCCCGUUCUGAGGAUUCCACUGCUAGUCUUAAGUUGGCAUGCAGCACCGUGCAAGUGUGGAUGAGGCUUCACAUUCACUUGGAACUGCUUGUUCUGAUCCGCAGCCAAGACUUCAAAACUGAAGGUCUCGUUUUUUCUUAGAAUCUGCCAAAGCUGAAGUAUUCUAAUAAUGUUUCUGCUUUUGUUAACUAAUUAGUGAGGAAAUUAUAAUGUAUUCCACUGAAGACUUUAAGUUUUCAGAAGAGAGCAAUGAAUCUCAUCAGCUUCAUGUGAGCACGUUUCAUGUGAAGAUAGCACAAGGCCAAUUACAAAUCCAAACGAUAAAAACAGUUUAAGCAGAACAAAACAAAGCACUUACCCAAAAGACAUCAUAAAUUAGUAACCCAGAGAGCAGCAAGCAGGAAACCUUCAGGCUCGGCAGCCGGACAAAGGCUAUCAUUGCAACACAAAGGCCCAUAGCCAGAGCUACAAAACGCAAGUACAUAAUUAGUGCAUUAAAAUAAAAACAAACCCCAAACCAAACAAGUAACAACAACAAGAAAAGAAACCAAUGCUCCUCCCCCUCCCCCCUCCAAAAAAAAACCCACUCAGAAGAAGCGUCUGUUGGCACCUGUGCAGCACUGCAUGCACUGGAUGGAUUUCUCAUAUUUCCAGAUACUGAAGUUCUUACAGGUCAAGAGAAGACAAAAUACAUUCAAGAGGAAUGCAUCCAUCUGCAAACGUGUCCCCACAGAAACAGAAAUACCACUCCACUUCCACUGCCCACCACAAACAAAUGUCCUCAUGAUCCAAGACCAUAACCCCCACAAAACACAAGCUGUCCAGUUACAAACAACAUCACCACAGUUUUCAACCGUCUGUGCCCCCAACGGGAAACAACUCCAGAAAUCAACAUGCUAACAUCACACAGUACAACCAAGAAGCACUCAAACCAAUCUUCUACUUGAACUAGACUGUGCAAGACUGCCCAAACAUCAGCUAUGAGCUCCUGCUGUUUAGAAGUACAGGGAUUUCCCAUUAACAAACAUCUGUAUGAAAGUUUGCCCAUCAAUGGGAAAACAGGGCAAGUCCUCUCCCAGGGGUGAGCUUUCAGACACACGAGCAAACUGCACUGACUGAUGCUGCAAGCUCAGAGUUGUCAGUUCUGUUCCAGGAGAAGAUUAAGAAUGUGCAACGCAAACUUAAACCUGAAACGUGACACGCAUGUCUAGAAAGGGCACGGGGGGGAAGCCUUCCUCUGCAGUUACAAAUCCAACCCCCUAUGUAUUUUGUCAGCAUAAGCUCACCAGCAUGACAACUUCAUCAGGCCACAGUUCACAAGUUAACAUUCUAAUCCUCACACUAUCAUUACAGAAUUGCAGAAAUCCAUUACAUUUGCAUUUCAUCCAGAAGAUAAGUUCUUCCAUCAAAGCACUGCAGAGACAAUUUAGUACAGAUUUGAGAGACAAAGCCAUGGAGCAGCUCCCAGCACAGCUGCACGCAAUGCCCAGACUGCCGGGCCCACCUCGUCAGCUCCAUGUAACCCUGAGCACAGCUGCCAGUUUUAAUGAAGUGAUGUGAUUACUGAGAUUAAAAAAAAAGUAUCCUAAAUCAUGCUGCAUUAUUGCAACUUAUUAUAGAACAUAAAUUACUGAUGCUUAAAGAAUUUGACACAGCAAAGCAGGGAGCAAAAGAAGUGUGUUCAGUAAUUCAGUACAGCCUUCAGUUACAGACUUCCUUUGGCAGAAGAGCAAAUACAAAGGAACAGGCUGUCUUAAAUCAAAGAGAUUUCUCCAAAGCCAAUGCUAAUAAUAGCUCAGGCUGGCCUAUGUUUAGGAGAGGAUUUCCACGUUAUAAUUAACUAGAAGUGGAAAUAUUUUAACCAAGGAGAAGUUUCAACUAUUAUUCACACGAUCCGUUUCAGCACUGUGGAAAUUCACACAGGCACCCAUGCAACACAUUUUCAUUGUACCAAGUGAACAGAGUGUUUAAAAGGGGGUGGAAAAGAAACAUUGAAAGAUGGAUGGCUACACAGAGAGACAAACAAACAGAACGUUGGACAGACGGAUGGAUGGAAGAAAGAUGGAAGGACAGAUGGGACAGAGCAUCAGAUGGACGAACAGAAAGGCAGACAACAAUGGAUGGAGCGUGAGAUAGAAAGAGACUGAUGGAGUGGUGGACAGGCAGAAAUACAGACAGGCAGUGCUGGAGGAACAGACAGGAGGACGCAUGGACAGGAUGAUGGAGCGUUGGAUGGGCGGAAAGACAGACGGUCAAAUUGAAUGUCAGAUGGACAGAGAUGGUCCAUUUGUCCUUCUGUCUGUCUGUCUAUGCACCCUUUCAUGCCUGUGUCCGUCCAUCUGUCCGUCUGUCUCUGCACGUCUCUCUAUCCACCAGUCUGUCCUUCUGCAAAUGUCCAUCAGUCCAUCCAAUUGCCUGUCAAAUCCAUCUUUCCAUCUAUGUAUCUGCCAGAGGGACUGACAGACAGGAAGAUGGAUGGACAGACUGAAGGAUGGGCACUGACAGACAGAGGGACAGAUGUAAUGGCGGUCAGUUUGUCUUUCCAUCCACCCUUCAAUCUGCCAAUCCAUUCAUCUUUCUGUCAAUCCUUCUGUCUCUCUGGCCAUCUGACUGUCUUUCUGUCCAUCGGCCCACCAGUCUGACUGUCAGAAGGACAAACUGACAGACAAGGAGACAGAAAGAUGGACCGACGCACAGACCGAAAGCUGUGCCAACAGAAGCUCAGUUGGAAGUGCUGAACUGACAGUAUUACCUGAAAGAGUCACCAUUCAGUCAACUGAAGGGACUGACUUCCACUCCCCAGCAAGCACACCUCUUACACAAUAAGGAUAUUCUGAGGAAUAUUCUGAAGAUGACAAUUAUUCCUGCAUAUGUAUUCCUGCAUAUAGACUUGCAGAGGUUUUUUGUUUGUUUUUUUAGCUCUAUUGAACUACUGCAGCCAGAACAGAUGAAAUCAGUGGAGCAAUUUCUGUUUUGCAGAUCAUUACGUAAACAAGCAGGACUUAAGCUUCACCCAUAAGCCACCAGUUGACCUUUGAAACAGACAGGUGCUGAAGCUGUGACCUAAUUAUGUACCUACAGAACUCAAAGUGUAUUUACAAAGCAGAAAUAAACACACACCAUGUAGCAGUUUCUGUUUGGCUGCUGCGUAAGCUAAGAUCCAUAGCAGUUCCCAGGGUACCCAGGACUGUUCAGUUCACUCCACUGCUGCCGAAGGAUACUGCAAAAACCUACAGAUAACAUUCCCAUUUUCCAUCUUCACACACUUCCUCUGUUUAGGAAAGCUUUUAAAAGAGAGCCUUCUCAUCCCAUCCUGGAACGUGUCCCUAGACUUAGAAACAAUCCAACCAACUACCAGGAGACGAGGGAAUUCCAUUUGAGCAAUGAAGGCUCUUCUGGUAGAAACUGCUGCACCUCGAUUUUGUAGGUAACAGAAAAGGCCACUGAGUAUUUCCCUUUUUACUUAGCUCUAAAAUACUCAUAGAGAAAGAUUCAGCUGCACGACAAGCCAGAGUUGCAGGCAAUAUAAGGCACAGUCACAUCUGCUUCAUUUCUGCUGACAGAGGACCAGAAGGAUUUAAACAAACUAAGAGGGGGCUAACCUAUAUAGCACAACUUCUGUAAUAUAAAAUACAUAAAUACUCCAAAGCUAAAUGGCAUCACCACAGUUCACUGCAUCAUAACUAACCACAAAGAAAUAAAACCCAGGAAGCACUCAGUGCCCAUAGAUCAGAGCUCUGCAGGUGGAUGCCUCAGUGCCCACUAUUUCAGAGUGCACUGCUCACAGAAAUAACUGCUCUAAGUAAAUGCUUCUGCCAACUUCUCUGUACAGACAGAUCUCUCCAGAUUGUGUCAAAAUUCACACUUGAAACUACAUUCAACUUUGUAUGUACUACAGAUCAAGGAUCACUCCUGAUUCCUUGGUGGGCCACUCUGCAUAGAACAAAACAAACAUCACCUGCAUUCUUCCAUGUGGCAUCAGUGCUUUACAAGGUAUUUCCUAGCAGGCAACAGGUGGAAGUUUCAGUAGCAGCAGAGAGCACAACUGACACACAACACCCAUAUACAAAAUACACAGUCAAGGUGUCGGUGCUCAGGACUUGUUGCUGCUAUCUCAUUUAGGAGCAACUAGAAAGCUGGGGGCACGUAUGUGUUUUAUUGAAAGAUGCCAUUUCAAGGGUAGGUAAUGCUGUUCCAGCUGUUCUUCCUCAAGCAGUCUCACCAUCUCAGGAUGCCACUUCACGAGACGUCCUGAGCCAAUUCAGUGCCUGACACCACUGGGAGGCGGAGGCUCUGCCCCUGGCUGCCCCUUCAUCCCUCUGCUGCCACAUCCACGCGAUCCUCUCAGAUCCCAUGGUGCUGUCACUUACCUUUUGCCAAAUCUACUGCAUACCUGACUGCACAAUAAUCUGAUUCAUCCCACUGCAGCACCAGAAAAAUAGCCCGGCAAAAAAAAAGAGCAUGCUACCAUUCUAGUGAGCUGAAUCAGUUCACCAUGUGACUAAAUGAACGCCGGAGCUAGCACAAGAGGUUUGGAAGGCAGAGGGGAGGAGGAAAGCUCUUCGUGGGAACAGUAAGCUGUGAAUUUGGUUCAGCCAGGAUAGAAAAAGGGGGGGGGGGGGGG